GCCUGGCUAGCUCAGUUGGUAGAGCAUGGGACUCUUAAUCCUAGGGUUGUGGGUUCAAAUCCCACAUUGAGUG